AGCGAACGCUGGCGGCAGGCCUAACACAUGCAAGUCGAACGAACCUUUCGGGGUUAGUGGCGGACGGGUGAGUAACACGUGGGAACGUGCCUUUAGGUUCGGAAUAACUCAGGGAAACUUGUGCUAAUACCGAAUGUGCCCUUCGGGGGAAAGAUUAAUCGCCUUUAGAGCGGCCCGCGUCUGAUUAGCUAGUUGGUUGAGGUAAUGGCUCACCAAGGCGACGAUCAGUAGCUGGUCUGAGAGGAUGAUCAGCCACAUUGGGACUGAGACACGGCCCAAACUCCUACGGGAGGCAGCAGUGGGGAAUCUUGCGCAAUGGGCGAAAGCCUGACGCAGCCAUGCCGCGUGAAUGAUGAAGGUCUUAGGAUUGUAAAAUUCUUUCACCGGGGACGAUAAUGGCGGUACCCGGAGAAGGAGCCCCGGCUAACUUCGUG
rnacentral:rRNA from 1 species